GCAUGUUUCAGUUAUUGGCCUAGAUAGCCUAGAUGGGAUCUCAGAACUGAGAUGCUGUUCUUGUGGCACGCACGCCGGCCUGCAUGCCGCGAGAAAGACUGCCCACGAUUGAGCACACAGUGGAUGGAAUCAAUUUCUAGUGAAUUCUCCAGUUUUUCCAGUCUUUUUUUCCUCUCGUUCUUCCCCUUUUUUCCUUCACGAUCUGCGUGCGUCAGAUCGAGCGCCGCAGUAAGCAACAAUCCCAAUCCCGCAGACAGUUAAUUAGUCCUUCCAUCUGUUUCCUCUCCAGUCUCCAAAAAAAGAAAUCGUGUCUUUCCCAUGAGAACAACAUGCUUAGGCAUGCACAUGACGAUGACAGUAAACAUAAUACUACUACUGACAUGCGUAUGGAUUUGGAUCAUGUAGAGCUAGGAUAGCAUGAAAUGAUCCGUGAGUGGCUAGGCUAAUUAAGCAAGCUGAUUAUUUGGUUGUGCAGGAGGAUUGGGGAGAUGGGGGCCUGAAGUGCCGCUUCGGCUCGCCGGAGUGUGAGGAGUCGGGGGCAGCUUGGUGGGGAAUGAAGCUCGGGGGCAGGGAAGAAUAGAGGGUUGUUUUGCAAAAAAAAGUCCACCUUGUCAUCUGACAUGUGGGUCCAUGUAGUCACGUAGGCAGCAGACACGCGUACGAGUCACAUUAGGACCUGUGUUGAACCACUUAUGAAACAAUUCGGACUUAAAUGUGCAGUUUCAAAGAAUUGGGACUCACUUGGGACUUUUACGAAAGAAUUAGGACCUCUAAUGCAUUUUACUCAAAAAAAAAUAGCUAAAAAUAUUUAAAAAAUGAAAAUAAUUGAGUAACUAGACAUAAGACCAUCCAUAUAUAAAAAAAUCAGUUGAAAUUCGACUCAGAGUUUGAGAAGCUAAAACGAAUUCAUGCUAUGGAUAGGCAUGUGAAUUAAGCCCAUUAACACUAUGAUUGCCGAAUUUUUUGUUUUUGUUUUUACUGAUGUAUGUUGAACUUUAUAAACUAAAUUUUGUGAUAUGAAGGAUGCAUAUAAAGUUCAGGUUGUGAGUUUUUAUAAGGUGUUGUUUCAGUCAGGUGCACCGAUUGCACUAGAAGACUGCCGCAUAUAUUUUAACCAUUGCUUCUUCUGAUUGUCAAAUCUCAACAUAAGAAAACACUGCCAAAUAUUUUCUCUUUUUCCGGCAAAGAGAGAUUGCUCAACUUAUCCGAAAUCUCUCAUUCUACAAAAAUCUUUUUUUCUACUUCUAUAGCAUUUUGACCCUUUGGACAUGCAAAGUCACAUUGAAAACUAUUAUCUUUGUUCCUAAAUAUAAAAAUCCUAAUUUGCCGUAAGUCAAACUUCUUAAAGUUUGACCAAGUAUAUAUAAAAAAUCUAUA
rnacentral:lncRNA from 1 species